rnacentral:rRNA from 1 species
UACGAAGGGGGCUAGCGUUGCUCGGAAUCACUGGGCGUAAAGGGUGCGUAGGCGGGUCUUUAAGUCAGAGGUGAAAUCCUGGAGCUCAACUCCAGAACUGCCUUUGAUACUGAAGAUCUUGAGUUCGGGAGAGGUGAGUGGAACUGCGAGUGUAGAGGUGAAAUUCGUAGAUAUUCGGAAGAACACCAGUGGCGAAGGCGGCUCACUGGCCCGGUACUGACGCUGAGGUGCGAAAGCGUGGGGAGCAAACAGG